rnacentral:rRNA from 1 species
GCUAACUCCGUGCCAGCAGCCGCGGUAAUACGGAGGGUGCAAGCGUUGUCCGGAAUCAUUGGGUGUAAAGGGUGCGUAGGCGGGAGCCUAAGUCUGUGGUGAAAUCUUGCCGCUUAACGGUAAAAUUGCCAUAGAUACUGGGUUUCUUGAGUACAGAAGAGGUCGGUGGAAUUCGUAGUGUAGCGGUGAAAUGCAUAGAUAUUACGAAGAACAUCAGUGGCGAAGGCGGCCGGCUGGACUGUAACUGACGCUGAGGCACGAAAGCGUGGGGAGCGAACAGGAUUAGAUACCCUUGUAGUC